CAAUCCCUGGUUCCGCGAAAAAACAACAACAACAAAACAAACAACAACAACAACAACAAGGGAGUGACUUCUUCCUUCUCUGGGGAAGUCUGAGCAGCAGUCUGGAGCCUCUAGAAAGAGCAGUUUCCAAUGCCCCACCCAAACCCGUCUUCUCUCCAUUCCACAAGUAGCACACCACCUCCAAACUCUGCUCAAAUUGUACUGUCCGCAUAGUGUUUGGAAGUAGCAUUCUCCUGUGGGACCUCUGGUUAGCCCAGUGACCCCCUGCAUAAGCUGUCCCCUGCAUCAGGCUAUCCCGCAACCCUUAUCUGGCUGGAUGUAUCCUUUACAUUUGUUUUGGCUAGUGACUCUGUCUACUCUUGCAGGAUCAGCUUGCCCCAGGGCUAGGCUCACAGGGAGCUCUGUUCUCACAAGGCCAGGGUGGUCUGCAGUGGGCACCCAAAGGCAGUUGAUGCAGGGAGUAUGGUUGGUUACAGCACAGCGCAGGGCCACACCUAAGUGUUUUUAGGUUCCUAACAGGUCCUGGUAUUAAGGGAGAUUUGACAUGGUUUGUGCCUGGACUGUGCAGCUACCUUGUAUAGUGACGUCCUGCAGAGCUUCCCAGAUUUGGGCUAAAGAUGAAGA